rnacentral:rRNA from 1 species
GAGUUUGAUCCUGGCUCAGAGUGAACGCUGGCGGUAGGCCUAACACAUGCAAGUCGAACGGCAGCACAGGAGAGCUUGCUCUCUGGGUGGCGAGUGGCGGACGGGUGAGGAAUACAUCGGAAUCUACUCUGUCGUGGGGGAUAACGUAGGGAAACUUACGCUAAUACCGCAUACGACCUACGGGUGAAAGCAGGGGACCUUCGGGCCUUGCGCGAUUGAAUGAGCCGAUGUCGGAUUAGCUAGUUGGCGGGUAAAGGCCCACCAAGGCGACGAUCCGUAGCUGGUCUGAGAGGAUGAUCAGCCACACUGGAACUGAGACACGGUCCAGACUCCUACGGGAGGCAGCAGUGGGGAAUAUUGGACAAUGGGCGCAAGCCUGAUCCAGCCAUACCGCGUGGGUGAAGAAGGCCUCGGUU